rnacentral:rRNA from 1 species
UGGGGAAUAUUGCACAAUGGGGGAAACCCUGAUGCAGCGACGCCGCGUGAGCGAAGAAGGUUUUCGAAUCGUAAAGCUCUGUCCUAUGAGAAGAUAAUGACGGUAUCAUAGGAGGAAGCCCCGGCUAAAUACGUGCCAGCAGCCGCGGUAAUACGUAUGGGGCGAGCGUUGUCCGGAAUUAUUGGGCGUAAAGGGUACGUAGGCGGUCUAUUAAGUCAGGUGUGAAAGCGUGAGGCUUAACCUCAUUAAGCACUUGAAACUGAUAGACUUGAGUGAAGGAGAGGAAAGUGGAAUUCCUAGUGUAGCGGUGAAAUGCGUAGAUAUUAGGAGGAAUACCGGUGGCGAAGGCGACUUUCUGGACUUUUACUGACGCUCAGGUACGAAAGCGUGGGGAGCAAAAAGG